rnacentral:misc_RNA from 1 species
GUGGUGGGGUGGUGGGGGAAGAUCUUAUAAAUACUUCUUUUCAUAAAAUACACAUCAAUAAUUUUAUCAUGAGUUUUUACUCAUGAUGUAACUUAAAAUUUUGUUAGUUUACCUUUCAAAUUAGAAAGUACUUUAUAAGUUUACAAUUUAUUGAUAAAUAUAAUUACCAAAAUGAAAUACAAGUCGUUAAGAAGUUAAUAAAAAUUUUCAUCAAAUUUUUCGUCCAUCUAUACUUAAAUAUCAAAGUUAAUAAAAAUAUUAUAAAUGAAAUUAUUAAUUUUAAUUAUGAAA